rnacentral:rRNA from 1 species
UCAGGCCUAACACAUGCAAGUCGAACGGCAGCGGGGACUUCGGUCCGCCGGCGAGUGGCGAACGGGUGAGUAAUGCAUCGGAACGUACCCGGAAGUGGGGGAUAACUCUCCGAAAGGAGUGCUAAUACCGCAUAUUCUGUGAGCAGGAAAGCAGGGGACCGCAAGGCCUUGUGCUUCCGGAGCGGCCGAUGUCAGAUUAGGUAGUUGGUGGGGUAAAGGCCUACCAAGCCUACGAUCUGUAGCGGGUCUGAGAGGAUGAUCCGCCACACUGGAACUGAGACACGGUCCAGACUCCUACGGGAGGCAGCAGUGGGGAAUUUUGGACAAUGGGGGCAACCCUGAUCCAAAAGUGCCGCGUGAGUGAAGAAGGCCUUCGGGUUGU